rnacentral:rRNA from 1 species
AUGAACGCUGGCGGCGUGCCUAAUACAUGCAAGUCGAGCGAACAGACGAGGAGCUUGCUCCUCUGACGUUAGCGGCGGACGGGUGAGUAACACGUGGAUAACCUACCUAUAAGACUGGGAUAACUUCGGGAAACCGGAGCUAAUACCGGAUAAUAUAUUGAACCGCAUGGUUCAAUAGUGAAAGACGGUUUUGCUGUCACUUAUAGAUGGAUCCGCGCCGCAUUAGCUAGUUGGUAAGGUAACGGCUUACCAAGGCGACGAUGCGUAGCCGGCCUGAGAGGGUGAUCGGCCACACUGGAACUGAGACACGGUCCAGACUCCUACGGGAGGCAGCAGUAGGGAAUCUUCCGCAAUGGGCGAAAGCCUGACGGAGCAACGCCGCGUGAGUGAUGAAGGUCUUCGGAUCGUAAAACUCUGUUAUUAGGGAAGAACAAAUGUGUAAGUAACUAUGCACGUCUUGACGGUACCUAAUCAGAAAGCCACGGCUAACUACGUG